ensembl:piRNA 21ur-93 ncRNA
UUUAUUCGGAUUAGCGUUAGG